rnacentral:lncRNA from 1 species
AUUAAAAUUCCAGAAUACUAGGCAUUCUUUUUAAGCCACAAAAGGGCUAUCCCCAAUGUGCCUGCUCCUGACUCCAACUUUUACUGGCUGAAGGGAAUGCAAGGGCAUGUAAGGCGUGUGACUACAAUGAAAUAAAUUGCCAUGUGGACACAACCCAUAGUUAACAGAUAUCUCGGACUAAUUGCAAUAUCAGAACCAUCUUGAAAGAUGCUCCCAAUUAUAAUGCAUUCUAAACUACAUUACAUUAGCUAAUGUUAGUGAUCAGGUGAAGAGUAGGAAUCUUCUGCAAUUAUUUUACUAAGCAGCCGGUUUGGUAAAGUGCUUGUUGUGUACUUUGGUUUCCCAAGACAGCUUUAUUUUACCAUAUAGAGUAAAGAUAAUAAAGGUGGCAUUCAACUUAAGUUUACUCAGGGGUAGGUAUAUUGGAAAUUAAUGGACCCAACAUAGUCAUAUUCAUUCAUUUCAACGGAGCUACUUUCUAUAAAACGUAGUUGAAUAUAACCCAAAGUGAUUGCAAUGCUGACUUAAAAGCCACAGUUUUGUUGCUGCAGAACUGCCACGCACCCUUUCAUAUUUAGUGUCCAGUGGUUGUGCUCUGAAUCAGGUGCAACCCCUGUUCUGGAUGAAGUAGUAUUCCGGAUGGCACUGUUUUGUCAUGCCAAAAGAGGAGUGAUAGCUUUACAUCCCAUCAUAGGAUGCUUGACCAGUGUGCUUUCUGUUUGGAUCCUGUCUUCAGGCAACCCUCUCUGAUGGGAGCGGUGCUUAUUGUCAUCUCUAGAAAGCCACUGAGGUUGGAUCUACACACAUGUUAAAAACAUUGUGAAAAUGCUUUUUUAAAAAAUCAUUUUGAAAAAUGCGUUAAAUUUGCUAUAGCUCACAAUCGUUUUCUAGUGUCACAAUUGUAUAUUGCACUUAACAACACAUCCAAAACAUUUUAUUUGCAGCCGAGUCCCAAAACUACAUGGGGACAAUUAGCAUUUUUGGUACAUAACAGUGUUGUUAUUUGGGGCAGAUUUUGCUAGGUAUGCUUGAGGAAUUCAUCUUUGUGAAUUCUGAUAGGAGCUUUUGAUCUGAUCUGCACUUCCUUGACGAAUGCGUAGGUUGGAAUGUAGCUAUUUAUUUGAUUCCACACGUCUCCAAACGUUGCGACGCAGCUGAAAAAAUUAUAAAAAAAUACUUUAGAAAGCACAUUUUGGGAGAAACUAUAUUUUAAAAUAGAUAUUUAAAUACACAUUAAAGUGCAAUUUUUCAUUUCAUUUUUUAAUUGAUGCAGAAACAGGACAGAGAAGACUUAUGAAGUAGGCUUUCUGUAUCAUAAUCUGCUCUGAUAAUUAUACUGUAUCAUUAUUUGAGGAUAUAAAUAAAUAAAUAAAUAAAUGACACCAGCACCCAAAACACCUGGGAGGCUGGAGAAAGAGGAUUUAUUGCCACUGCCCAGGCACCAUCACUUCCCUUUUGCUGCCAUCAACCUCCUCAGGGGAAUGGGGCAGACAAGGGAGAUAGCUGCAGUGGUGGGCCUUGGGGCCUCAAAUUUCACUGGCCCCAAGUGCAACCCCAAAAUCCAGCGUCCCCCCAUGGCACCCCCGAGGCUCCACGCUCAGUGCGACCGAAUUGGUUGCACCUCCCUAAAUGCGCCUCUGAUAGCUGUGAGCCACCUGGCCUGCUAAAAAGGCUCAGCCAACUUCUCUGAUCUGUAUUUUAUUUUUAUUUUUUCCAAAAAAAUAUAUAUUCAUUUUAUAACACAAUUAAGCAACACAAACAGAAAAUAAACAAUACAAACAAAUUCUUGUCUUAUCCUUAUUUUUUCUAAACAUUGUUAGGUGAGCUUCCCCAAGUCCCCCCUAUCUGAUUUUCAUUUUACCUCAUCUUUAGCAGUUUCAUGUAUCAUGAUUUUUAACCAUUUUUUAAUCACACUUACUUUUACCAUAAAAAUCGUCACAUUUUAUCACUUACAAAUAAUACUGUUUUAAAAUACACUAUCUUCUACUUCUAACCCUACAGCCUAUAUCCACUUUCAAAGCUAUUCUAAGAUUUAAAUAUUAACAUAUUUUUUCAAAUAUUCCUUAAACUUCUUCCAAUUUUCUUCCACCGUCUCUUCUCUCUAGUCUCGGAGUCUCCCAGUCAGUUUGGCAAGUUCCAUAUAGUCCAUCAUCUUCAUCUGCCAUUCUUCGAUAGUUGGUAAAUCUUGUUUCUUUCAAUUCUUCACUAGUAAUAUUCUUGCAGCUGUUGUGGCAUACAGAAAAAAGUAACAUCCUUUUUCUCUGAUCUGUAUCUUAAACAAGGCUACUCUUGCCUCCUUAGCAAGACUAGCAGUUUGAAUUAGCUUCAUUUAUUUGACUGGUUAACUUUUUUUAUUAUGAUUUUGCUGGGUACUUGCCAUCUAUUAAGUCUAGAUCUGUUCAUCAGCACAUGGGCUGGGUUCUACCAGUGACCCUUGGGUCACUUUUAGGUGUGCCAGGUGGCAUCCUCGCUUGCCUGCCGCAUCCUUUUGCCAUUUCUUGGGCCAUUGCCAGCACCUGCUAUUGGCCCCACAGUCAUGUCUGAAUGGGUUGACAGUGAAGCUGCUGCAGCAGCAGGAAUAUUCCUAACCCUUUGCCAGUGUGGUGGUUGCAACCAUCAUGUGAUACCUUACUUGCCUAAAGUGUUUGCAAAAAAAAAACCAUUGAGUCAAAGCCAGCAGGAACAAGCUAUGUUGUGUAAUAUGUUUAUCACUUAAUGCCUACCAAUUGGACUACUGUAAUUGUAUUUCCCGUUCCCAGUCCAUAUCUCUUGAUCUGAAAAUGGUUUGGCACCAUGGGCCAUACAGUAUAAUGGGCUUUUGGAUUUCAUUCUGUUGCAAGGCAGUAUAAACCAUUUCUGUUACUAUUCGUUGCUUAUGUGCCGCGUUAAAAACUAAAAAUCAUAGCCCACCAGGUAUGAUUAUUUCUACAGAUAAGGAUCUAAGGCUGAGAAGUGCCAGAAGUUGGGGGUGAUUUUGUAAGAGCCUCUCUGUAUAAGUAAUCAUGUAUUGAAAGCCAUGAUUUUUUAAUUCUUAGGGUUGUUGCAAUAAAAACUAAACAAUCUCAUGAAAUCUGUUUGCUAAACCAUUUAGGGGGAAAAAUAGUCUUGUGAGUUUAUGUGGGUAUUUAUUAGGGAUGAUUGGAUCCAUCUAUUUCUAUUCAAUGUCAGUUCUGUUGACAUUUCCAUUCCACCUUAAGGAACAGGCAUGAGAUUGUUGCAUGUCACAUGUCUGUUGACAUUCCAGCACAUAUGUCCAUUGGUCCAUCGUGUUCCAGUUUUGCAUUGAUCUGUAUGCAUUUCUAAAUGUUUGUGUAUGUAUAAUCAAACAAGAACCAUGUUGUAAAAUUUUGAGAAGUGUGAAAUCUGAAGAAUAAUUAGGUUCUGGUCCGUUUGCAUGUUCAGGAGGUACAUUAGGUUAGUUUGCUUAAAAAUGAGAACCAAGCAAAAUUUUCCUUCCUCUCUAGUCUAUAUUAAAAAUAAUAGGAUUGUUGGUGGGGGAAUAGGAUUGUUUAUCAAGAGAAUGGGGGGGGGGACUAUUUAGGGGACACCACGUGAAGGUAGGCAAUGUAUAGAAUAAUUUACUUUAGCAGUGAACAUGAGGAAUCAAAGAAAUCCAUUAUUUUCUCCAAAAAUUGUCUGUGUAGUAUUUAACACAGUGAUGCUUUCUCUGAGUUCAGAACAAAAAAGAAAAAUCCAUGUGUUGAGGCUUAAGCUAUUAAGCGAAUAGGUGAAAAUUGCUUGCUUCCUGGUGCCACUAUGUUUUCUUUCUGUAGUAGAAUAAUACUGACACGCUGCCCAAAAAGGUUAAGAGACCUUCACUUUCCCAUCAGUGUUUCCCAACGUUCGUAGAGAGAGACUCUCCAUUCCCUCUUAAAAAAUACAUAUUAAUUAC